GAUGAAGAACGCAGCAAAAUGCGAUAAGUAAUGUGAAUUGCAGAAUUCAGUGAAUCAUCGAAUCUUUGAACGCACAUUGCGCCCGCCAGUAUUCUGGCGGGCAUGCCUGUUCGAGCGUCAUUUCAACCCUCAAGCCCCCGGGCUUGGUGUUGGGGAUCGGCGUGCCCUCGCGGCGCGCCGUCCCCUAAAUCUAGUGGCGGUCUCGCUGUAGCUUCCUCUGCGUAGUAGCAACACUCGCACUGGAUCGCAGCGCGGCCACGCCGUUAAACCCCCCACUUCUGAAAGUUUGACCUCGGAUCAGGUAGGAAUACCCGCUGAACUUAAGCAUAUCAAUAAGCGGAGGA
rnacentral:misc_RNA from 1 species